UUAGAUUAUAUCUCUGGGGCUGCUGCUGGAUCUCUGAUGAUUGUAGCAGCAAUUUUGAUGUUCUGCAUCUGUAGGAAACACAAAGACACAUAUCAAGAGGUUCAGACUGGUGAAGAUGAGAUCACAUAUGCAGAUACAACAUUCCAUAAACGAAAAAUGCAUAAACAGGGAUCUGAGGAUGAUGAGGUGUAUUCUCAGUGUGAGUUUAAAGUUUUUCCUUUGUGAAUUAUAUUACAUGAAGCAAUUAUUACACGUGAGACGUCUGUUUACUCUCCAUCACAUUUGCAAGCAUAAUACACACCAGAAAGCAAAUGUCAACAUAAUUUCUCCAUGCCUAAAAUAAUGUUAAUAGCAGUUUUAAAAAGAACUGUACAACAUCAGAAACUCUGUGAUCAAAAUAUAUAUAAAUAAAUGUGUAUAGACUCAAAGUAUUUGUUUUUAAAACACAAACAUGUUUUUUUUUUCUGUCACAAUAUGCAUCUGACACAUUAACACUUUCAUUCGUGUUUAAGUGAAAUGUGAAGUGGAAAGAAAUGUGGUUUUGUUGUACUGAUGGACGUGAGAUAU